CUCCUUGCUGUUGGUUUCCUCCUUUGAGCAAGGACUUCUAGCGGCCUUAAGGCUGCGGUCAUGUCCAUCAUUGUCCCUGUUCUUCUAAGUCUUCUGAGAAAAAAUAAUCCUGUGCUUUGGAUCAACAAAGUGCCGUGGUGAUUAUCUAGUCGAACCUUCUUGUUUUAUAGUUGAAGGCAAUGAGGUCUAGAACUAUGAAGUGACCUCAGCACUCUGUAAGUCUAUAUGGGCUUAAUGGCCCAGGGUCCCCCAGCUGGUUAGUGGCUAAUCUCAGACUCAAAGUUUGUUGACUUCAAUUCCAGAGCCUUUUCCACUGCAGCAAGUGUCAACAUGUAAUCUGUCUUCAGAAUAUACAUCAGGCACACUGGAGCUCUUAAUUCAAUGGCUGUGUCCAUCCUUUCAGAGCAAGAGAGCCUUUCUGAAGAGACUAUCAGCUGGUAGAGUUGGUGACAAGUUGGAGAGCUCCUUUCCAUCCUGGCGCUCUGCAUGAUCUGAGUGGAUCCUGUGGCUGUUCCAGUCAACAGAAUAUGGCAGAAGUGAUGCUAAAUGGUUCUGAGGCUCUUCCCACUCAAUCUCUGCCCGGUGUCCUGGGACAUUUAUUCUGGUGGAGAGAUAAUUCCAGUAUAAGAGGUACAGCUACCCUGGAGGGCCACGUCUAUAGACCCUGUUGAGCAACCAGCUGACAGCAGCAUCCAGUGGCAGCCAUCUGUGUGAGCCAUCUGGGACGUCCAGUCUAGUUGGGCCCAUAGAUGAUCACAGCAUAGCCAACAUCUGACCACAACUAUGAAAAACCCCGUAUGAGAACUGCCCAGCCAAGCCCUUUGCAGAUUCCUGACUCAUAAAACUAUGAGAAAAAUCAAAUUGUUGUUUUACUCCACUAAGUUUUGGAAUGAUUUGUAAUGCAGGAUCAUUAACCAGGGCACAUAGCAACACUGAAGGGUCACUGCAAGGACUGAGUGAGAGAAC
ensembl:lncRNA